CCUUGACAAGGACGGAAUGGCCUCUGGUCUAAACAUCUUUACGGUUAACGCACUGUUGCCUACUCUGCGUCAACUUAACCAAAUUUUUUA
rnacentral:ncRNA from 1 species